rnacentral:tRNA from 1 species
AUGCGGGAGGCGCGGCGGGCCCGCGCGCCCUGCUCCUGACGGGGCAAGGCAUUCAACACCUACUCGCCGGUUCGGGACCGGCCCCCAAUUC